AGCGAACGCUGGCGGCAGGCUUAACACAUGCCAGUCGAGCGGGCAUCCUUGUGGUGUCAGCGGCAGACGGGUGAGUAACGCGUGGGAACGUGCCCUUCGGUUCGGAAUAACUCAGGGAAACUUGAGCUAAUACCGGAUACGUGCGAGAGCAGAAAGGUUUAUCUGCCGAAGGAUCGGCCCGCGUCUGAUUAGCUAGUUGGUGAGGUUACGGCUCACCAAGGCGACGAUCAGUAGCUGGUCUGAGAGGAUGAUCAGCCACACUGGGACUGAGACACGGCCCAGACUCCGACGGGAGGCAGCAGUGGGGAAUAUUGGACAAUGGGGGCAACCCUGAUCCAGCCAUGCCGCGUGAGUGAUGACGGCCUUAGGGUUGUAAAGCUCUUUUCUCCGGGACGAUAAUGACGGUACCGGAGGAAUAAGCCCCGGCUAACUUCGU
rnacentral:rRNA from 1 species